ACUAGAGGUAUCCUUGACAGGGUUGAUGGGAAAAUAUAAGACAUCUAGUUAAAAUAAGCAGCUCGAGCAUAAUUCAGCUGCUUUCCAGAAUUCUCCCCAGGGGUAAACCCACCCCAGCUGGAAAGAAGGUGAAAAAGGAGCGGGGUGAAUACGGUCCACAUAGGAUUUAACGGCUAGAAGAAAUGUGGCACACAGCAAGAGAAAGCUUGUUGGGAUGCCCAUGUUCCUAUGAGCUUGGACGAAUGCUUUCUAGUAGUCUGUGACCUUACAGUGAUGGAUUCAGAGAUGUGAUUUAGAGCAUUCUGUGCACCCGCUUCUAGCUGACGCAUGCUAUGCACAUACCAGGAUCCACAUUAUUGAUGAUUUUGAGGAAAAAUCAAGGCCCCCAUGUACAG
ensembl:lncRNA